UGCGAAGGCAGCGCACGAGGCCUUUACUGACGCUAAAGCUCGAAGGUGCGGGUAUCGAACAGGAUUAGAUACCCUGGUAGUCCGCACGGUAAACGAUGGAUGCCCGCUGUUUGCGAUACACUGUGAGCGGCCAAGCGAAAGCGUUAAGCAUCCCACCUGGGGAGUACGCCGGCAACGGUGAAACUCAAAGGAAUUGACGGGGGCCCGCACAAGCGGAGGAACAUGUGGUUUAAUUCGAUGAUACGCGAGGAACCUUACCCGGGCUUGAACUGCCGGCGAACGAUACAGAGAUGUUGAGGCCCUUCGGGGCGCCGGCGGAGGUGCUGCAUGGUUGUCGUCAGCUCGUGCCGUGAGGUGUCGGCUUAAGUGCCAUAACGAGCGCAACCCCUCUCCGUAGUUGCCAUCGGGUGAUGCCGGGCACUCUGCGGACACUGCCACCGUAAGGUGUGAGGAAGGUGGGGAUGACGUCAAAUCAGCACGGCCCUUACGUCCGGGGCUACACACGUUGACAGGGGGUGGUACAGAGGGCAGGCAUCCGGCAACGUCCGUCUAAUCCCGAAAGCCAUCCUCAGUUCGGACUGGGGUCUGCAACCCGACCCCA
rnacentral:rRNA from 1 species